rnacentral:miRNA from 1 species
AUUUUGCGCGCGGAGCGGAAUUUCUCUUUGUCUUGUGAUUUCUCGGGUGGAACUAUUAGAAAAGACAAAGAAAGAUUCCGCUCCGCGCGCAAAAUUCCGC